AGUGAACGCUGGCGGUAGGCCUAACACAUGCAGGUCGAACGGCAGCACAGUAAGAGCUUGCUCUUACGGGUGGCGAGUGGCGGACGGGUGAGGAAUACAUCGGAAUCUACUUUUUCGUGGGGGAUAACGUAGGGAAACUUACGCUAAUACCGCAUACGACCUACGGGUGAAAGCAGGGGAUCUUCGGACCUUGCGCGAUUGAAUGAGCCGAUGUCGGCUUAGCUAGUUGGCGGGGUAAAGGCCCACCAAGGCGACGAUCCGUAGCUGGUCUGAGAGGAUGAUCAGCCACACUGGAACUAAGACACGGUCCAGACUCCUACGGGAGGCAGCAGUGGGGAAUAUUGGACAAUGGGCGCAAGCCUGAUCCAGCCAUACCGCGUGGGUGAAGAAGGCCUUCGGGUUGUAAAGCCCUUUUGUUGGGAAAGAAAAGCAGCAGGUUAAUACCCCGCUGUUCUGACGGUACCCAAAGAAUAAGCACCGGCUAACUUCGUG
rnacentral:rRNA from 1 species